UACGAGUGGUGCAAGCGUUAUUCGGAAUCAUUGGGCGUAAAGGGUGUGUAGACGGCAUGUUAAGUCAACUGUUAAAUUCUCCGGCCUAACCGGAGGCCUGCAGUAGAUACUGGCUGUGCUAGAGUGUGGAAGAGAGAGGCGGAAUUCUCGGAGUAGCGGUAAAAUGCGUAGAUCUCGAGAGGAACACCAAUGGCGAAGGCAGCCUCUUGGUCCAUUUCUGACGUUGAAACACGAAAGCGUGGGGAGCAAACAGGAUUAGAUACCCUGGUAGUCCACGCCGUAAACGAUGAUCACUAGACGUUAGUUCUGUUUUUUACGGGAUUAGUGUCGUAGCUAACGCGUUAAGUGAUCCGCCUGGGAAUUACGGUCGCAAGAUUAAA
rnacentral:rRNA from 1 species